rnacentral:rRNA from 1 species
CCUGAAACGUUGCUUCGGUGGGCGNNUCCAGGGGGAGUCAUAUGCCUUAUAGGUGCCCGCCGGAGGACCUAAACUCUUCUGAAUUUUAGUGGCCUCUCUGAGAAAAAACAUAAUAAGUUAAAACUUUCAACAACGGAUCUCUUGGUUCUGGCAUCGAUGAAGAACGCAGCGAAACGCGAUAAGUAAUGUGAAUUGCAGAAUUCAGUGAAUCAUCGAAUCUUUGAACGCACAUUGCGCCCGCCAGCAUUCUGGCGGGCAUGCCUGUUCGAGCGUCAUUUCAACCCUCAAGCACUGCUUGGUGUUGGAGCUCGUACGGCCUAGCGGCCGCACGCUCCGAAAAUCAGUGGCGGACUCUCCGAGACUCCGGGCGCAGUAGAGAUGCGACGCCUUGGAAGUCUAGGCGGGCUCUUGCCGUUAAACCCCAUCUUUUAAAGGUUGACCUCGGAUCAGGUAGGAAUACCCGCUGAACUUAAGCAUAUCAAUAAGCGGAGGAA